rnacentral:rRNA from 1 species
AGGGUGACAGGUGGUGCAUGGUUGUCGUCAGCUCGUGUCGUGAGAUGUUCGGGUUAAGUCCCGCAACGAGCGCAACCCUCGACCUUAGUUGCCAGCAUUCAGUUGGGCACUCUAAGGUGACUGCCGGCUAAAAGUCGGAGGAAGGUGGGGAUGACGUCAAAUCAUCAUGCCCCUUAUGACCUGGGCUACACACGUGCUACAAUGGGCGGUACAAAGGGUCGCGAACCCGCGAGGGGGAGCCAAUCCCAAAAAGCCGCUCUCAGUUCGGAUUGCAGGCUGCAACUCGCCUGCAUGAAGCCGGAAUCGCUAGUAAUCGCGGAUCAGCAUGCCGCGGUGAAUACGUUCCCGGGCCUU